CGACCUCCCGAGCUCAGUGAUCCUCCCACCUCAGCCUCCUGAGUAGCUGUAACCACAGGCACGUGCUACCAGGCCCAGCUAAUUUUUUUUUUUUUGAGAUGGAGUCUCGCCCUGUUGCCCAGGCUGGAGUGCAGUGGCGUGAUCUCAGCUCACUGCAGCCUCUGCCUCCCAGGUUCACCCCAUUCUCCUGCCUCAGCCUCCUGAGUAGCUGGGAUUACAGGCGCACCACCACAUCCAGCUAAUUUUUGUGUGUGUAUAUAUAUAUAUAUUUUUUUUUAGUAGAGAUGGGGUUUCACCAUGUUGGCCAAGUUGGUCUCAAACUCCCGACCUCAGGUGAUCCACCCACCUCAGCCUCCCAAAGUGCUGGGAUUACAGGCGUGAGCCACUGCACCCAGCCAAUUUUUUAAUUUUUUUAUAGAGAUAGGGUCUUGCCUUGUUGCCCAGGUUGUUCUCAAACUCCUGGGCUCAAGCAAUCCUCCCGCCUUGGCCUCCUAAAGUGCUGGGAUCACAGGCAUGAGCCACUGUGCCUGGCCUGAUUUAAUUCUUCUUCUUCACCUGAUCCAGUUUUCUCCAUGAAGACUUGAGACCAAGUCACAGUAGGUUUGGACCCAAAUGUAUGCUGCUCCUCUCUCCCCAUGUUCUUUGCUUCUGUUCUUAGCCUGGGGUAAAGUCCUCCUUGUCCUGGGCCAGACAUACUGUCAAGAGAAAGCUUGGUAUUGGACUGACUCCAUUUAAAGAACCUUAUUUUAUGAAUCUGUCCCAGGAAAAUAUAGUAACUCGUUAACAGUUUUGAAUGAUUUGUUCUUUGCUUUUUGGCAAAUUUCAGUUUAUCCUUGCUAGAGGGAAAACAAUAAAAUCCACAAGUAAUUCCCAAUUUUCAACCUAGCCCAGCAAUUUAACCUCCUCACUCACUUUGCCAAGGCUACUAAUAAGUAGCUGUGUGCCUGGCCUGCUUUCCUUCUCUCCUCUCCCUGGUCCUGCCCAUUGGCAGGGAGCCUCUUGUGAGUCAUAAGAUGACCAAGAGAUCACACGGCGAGAGACUGAAAGAAAAGCAGCAAAGCCCUGGGUAAUCAAGGCCCUAAACGGAAAGUGUCAGGAUCUUGGGGUAAGUGGCUUUUAUAUCUUUGAAACUGCUCAGUAAUUUUCCAGAGAGAUGUUGGUUGGAACCCAGUGGAGUUGUGCCCCGCCCAUAGUUAAUGCUCAAUAAGUUUAUUAAGUCAAGAAACAAAUUUAGGCUUGGCGAGUCCUGCCUGAUGACAGGUAAACCCAUCCUUAUACAAGAAUGGAUCAUUUACCCACCUCGCUUAGGAAAAAGAGGAGGUUAUCAGGUUGUUAAGAAACGGGGCCAGGUCCAGGGCCAGGGCCGGGCACGGUGGCUCACACCUAUAAUCCCAGUACUCUGGGAGGCCAAGGUGGGUGUAUCACUUGAGGUCAGAAGUUCAAGACCAACCUGGCUAACAAGGUGAAACUGUCUGUACUAAAAAUACAAAAAUUGGCUGGGCACAGUGGCUCACGCCUGUAAUCUCAACACUCAAAACCCCUUCUCAAAAAAAAAAAAAAAAAUUAACUGGAUGUGGUGUCAUGUGCCUGUAACCCCAGCUGCUCGGGAGGCUGAGGCAGGAGAAUCGCUUGAACCCGGGAGGCAAAAGUUGCAGUGAACCAAGAUUGCACCACUGCACUCCAGCCUGGACAACAGACAGACCAAGACUCCGUCUCAAAAAAAAAAAGAAAGAAAAAAAAAGAAUCUGGGCUGGACACAGUGGCUCAUGACUAUAAUCCCAGUACUUUGAGAGGCCGAGGCAGGAGGGUCACUUAACCCCAGGAGUUCAAGACCAGACAUAGUGAGACCCUGUCUCUACAAAAAAUAAAAAAAUUUUUGUAGAUUUUUUAUCUACAAAAAUCUGGGCGUGGUGGUGGAUGCCUGUGGUCACAGCUACUCAGGAGGCUGAGGCAGGAGGAUCACUUGAGCCUGAGAGGUCGAGGCUGCAGUGAGCUGAGAUCGUGCCACUGCACUCCAUCCUGGGUGACAGAAUGCAACCCUAUCUCAAAAAAAAAAAAAAAAAAAAGAACCUGCUAACCUGCUACUCUAGACCCCCUGCCUUGAGGACGGUGGCAUUCACAUUGCAGCUAUUGUGAAAAAUGUCCCCAGAGUUUACAGGCUACAAGCUAACAGUGGCACUCCGACUGGGAGCCCAGAGGGCAGGCUCUAGGAUCCUGAUCAAUGAGAUCUGCUUAUGAAAACAUCUUAAAACCUGGACUACAGAAAAAAGCACUCUUGCUUCCAUACUGUUCAGAUUAUGUAUGCAAAACGAGUAAGAACUGCCCAGCCAGUGUGCCUCUCUGCUUAAUAUAGAGCUUAGAAGUCCUCUAAUUCUGUUUUGUUUUGUUUUCUGAGACAGGGUCUCACUUUGUUGCCCAGGCUGGAAUGCAGUGGUAUGAACAUGGUUUACUGCAGCCUCGACCUCCUGCGCUCAAGCGAUCCUCCCACCUCAGCCCACAGAGUAGCAGGGACUACAGGCACAUGCCACCAUGAGGUUUUGCCAUGUUGCGCAGACUGGUCUUGAACUCCUGGGCUCAAGCAGUCCUCUGGCCUCAGCCUCCCAAAGUGCUGGGAUUACAGGUGUGAGUCAGAAGUUCCCUAAUUCUGAUAUGUGUGGUCACUACGCAGUUCUGUGCUUUGCUUCCAAAGGACUGAUCACCUUGAAGAACCAGAAUAUAAAGAGGUUACGUUGGGGGAACAUUACCAUUUAUUUAUUGGCUUACUCUGAAAGACAAGUAAGUUAGUGCAGAAUCACAACGUUGGCUCAUUAUUGGUAUCAUGGGCAGCCUGCAAUGUUUGCUCAUCAUAUCUAUCUAGUUAUAUAUUGAUUAUUUACAUUCUGCUUUGUUCAAUAAAUAAUUUGAAAGCAUACAUCCAUUAAAAACUUCAGGGCCGG
rnacentral:lncRNA from 1 species